UACGGGGGGGGCGAGCGUUAUUCGGAAUUAUUGGGCGGAAAGGGCGCGUAGGCGGCCUGGCAAGUGGAAGGUGAAAUCCCUCGGCUUAACCGGGGAACUGCGUCUGAUACUGGAUGGCUUGAAUCCGGGAGAGGGAUGCGGAAUUCCAGGUGUAGCGGUGAAAUGCGUAGAUAUCUGGAGGAACACCGGUGGCGAAGGCGGCAUCCUGGACCGGCAUUGACGCUGAGGAGCGAAAGCCAGGGGAGCAAACGGG
rnacentral:rRNA from 1 species